GGGCGGAUCCUCAGGAACCGGUUUAGCUGAACGGUCGCAUAGCCCAGCCUCCUAGAUCCUGCUUGCUCUCACGGCCUAAUCUCUAGUCUGUCGCGUAUAGCUAGGCGAAAUUUCGUUGAUGGGGUGGCGACUUAAAUUCUCCUUGAGUGGGGUUCCAGAGAAGGUGAAAGGCCUGUUCGGUCGAUGGCCGUCUUGGAUUCCGUUCUACGUGGGAGUCGGGUUGUUUGGGACCGCAGCCCCAAAUUGGGUGGUAAACUUCAUCUAAGGGCUAAUUACGGGCCACGAAAACCGAGUAGCAACCAUGUAGAGUUCCAAGAAGGACGUUAAACCCGGGGGGGGAUGGAAACGGGAUAUAGCCCAACGAACAAAGGCCGUAAUCCGCUUAGUCGGGCUGCGUUGCGGAAAUGCCCUGUGUUCCUCGUUUCAGGGUGGAUUGGGGUGGGGGGCAGAAUGCCGGACCGGCCUAUUGCUUUUUUCCGGGGAGAACCCCCCCUAAAGGCGAUUGGCCAAAUCCCCUCCAACCGGGGUCGGGGGGGGAGAAGGGUUUUCUUGUUGGCUUGGAAAAACAACCCCGAUUUGGUCAAAACGCCGCUUUGUGGUGUUUCCCGGGUAUUUUUCUUUUUUGCCCCGCUCAUAUGGAAAAAAAACUUUUGUGUGGGGUGGUCCUGUGGGGGGGGGGGGGAAGGCGCCCGUGGUACCCCCCCUGGGGAAAAAAAGGGGGAUAAUUCCCCCCCCCCCCCCUUUUAAAAAAAAGAAAAAAAAA
rnacentral:rRNA from 1 species